rnacentral:rRNA from 1 species
UACGUAGGGUGCAAGCGUUAAUCGGAAUUACUGGGCGUAAAGCGUGCGCAGGCGGUUUUGUAAGACAGAGGUGAAACCCCCGGGCUCAACCUGGGAACUGCCUUUGUGACUGCAAGGCUUGAGUGCGGCAGAGGGGGAUGGAAUUCCGCGUGUAGCAGUGAAAUGCGUAGAUAUGCGGAAGAACACCGGAGGCGAAGGCGGCUUGCUGGACCUGGUCUGACGCUGAGGCGCGAAAGCGUGGGGAGCGAACAGG